AUCCCAACCUCGUUCCCAGGCUCUUUGCUCUUGGGAAGCAAAGAAAGAGCCUGGGAACGAGGUUGG
rnacentral:miRNA from 1 species